rnacentral:misc_RNA from 1 species
GGGAGGUCCAAAUCUUCAUAUUUAUCCUUUUUAAAUAUCUCAUGAAUCAGUCAUUUCCGAAUGGACCAUUUUGUACACGACAAUAUACAUGCUUACUCAAAUCUCACGAAAAACGUAACUUCCCAGAAUCAGACAGUUCACUUCUUUGAAACAUAUGCAUAGUAUUGAGCCAUAGGAACAACGAAAGCAAUCACUAACAGCCCACCAACCACAAGUGUGAAUUGUCCUCUUUUCUCAUCAGUUUCCUCUCUGGAUUUAAAGUUGGACUCUCUUUUGUUAUCCUUGAGUUGGGGACCACCAGGAUCUGGAAGGCCAUCAAUGGCUGCAACAAGACGUCUGGCAGUGCUGAAAACUGCUUCAUUGUACUUCUCUUCAGUAGCCAAAACUGGAAGGUUCUCUGAGACGGUAGCAUCAAGAACAGUAUCUCCAACGGCCUUUACAAAAUCAGGGCCACCAGUUAUUGCGCCUUCCUUUUGACUUGUAACAAGCACAACUAUACCCUUAUCAUUUCCUUGCUCAACACUAGGAUACCACUUCUCCAAAACUUGAUCAGCAUACUC